UACGUAGGGCGCAAGCGUUGUCCGGAAUUAUUGGGCGUAAAGAGCUCGUAGGCGGCCUGUUGCGUCCGCUGUGAAAUCCCGGGGCUUAACCCCGGGUCUGCAGUGGAUACGGGCAGGCUAGAGGCAGGCAGGGGAGAACGGAAUUCCCGGUGUAGCGGUGGAAUGCGCAGAUAUCAGGAGGAACACCGGUGGCGAAGGCGGGUCUCUGGGCAGUAACCGACGCUGAGGAGCGAAAGCGUGGGGAGCGAACAGG
rnacentral:rRNA from 1 species